CCUACGGGGGGCUGCAGUGGGGAAUAUUGGACAAUGGGCGAAAGCCUGAUCCAGCCAUGCCGCGUGUGUGAAGAAGGCCUUCGGGUUGUAAAGCACUUUCAGUGGGGAAGAAAGCCUUGGGGCUAAUACCCUCGAGGAAGGACAUCACCCACAGAAGAAGCACCGGCUAACUCCGUGCCAGCAGCCGCGGUAAUACGGAGGGUGCGAGCGUUAAUCGGAAUUACUGGGCGUAAAGCGCGCGUAGGCGGUCUGAUAAGCCGGUUGUGAAAGCCCCGGGCUCAACCUGGGAACGGCAUCCGGAACUGUCAGGCUAGAGUGCAGGAGAGGAAGGUAGAAUUCCCGGUGUAGCGGUGAAAUGCGUAGAGAUCGGGAGGAAUACCAGUGGCGAAGGCGGCCUUCUGGACUGACACUGACGCUGAGGUGCGAAAGCGUUGGUAGCAAACAGGAUUAGAUACCCUAGUAGUC
rnacentral:rRNA from 1 species